GUGCAGCUGCAUCGGCGGCUCCGGGAAGAUGGCGGCCCGGGCGGGUUUCCAGUCUGUGGCUCCGAGCGGCGGCGCCGGAGCCUCAGGAGGGGCGGGCGCGGCUGCUGCCUUGGGCCCGGGCGGAACUCCGGGGCCUCCUGUGCGAAUGGGCCCGGCUCCGGGUCAAGGGCUGUACCGCUCCCCGAUGCCCGGAGCGGCCUAUCCGAGACCAGGUAUGUUGCCAGGCAGCCGAAUGACACCUCAGGGACCUUCCAUGGGACCCCCUGGCUAUGGGGGGAACCCUUCAGUCCGACCUGGCCUGGCCCAGUCAGGGAUGGAUCAGUCCCGCAAGAGACCUGCCCCUCAGCAGAUCCAGCAGGUCCAGCAGCAGGCGGUCCAAAAUCGAAACCACAAUGCAAAGAAAAAGAAGAUGGCUGACAAAAUUCUACCUCAAAGGAUUCGUGAACUGGUACCAGAAUCCCAGGCCUAUAUGGAUCUCUUGGCUUUUGAAAGGAAACUGGACCAGACUAUCAUGAGGAAACGGCUAGAUAUCCAAGAGGCCUUGAAACGUCCCAUCAAGCAAAAACGGAAGCUGCGAAUUUUCAUUUCUAACACUUUCAAUCCGGCUAAGUCAGAUGCCGAGGAUGGGGAAGGGACGGUGGCUUCCUGGGAGCUUCGGGUAGAAGGACGGCUCCUGGAGGAUUCAGCCUUGUCCAAAUAUGAUGCCACUAAACAAAAGAGGAAGUUCUCUUCCUUUUUUAAGUCCUUGGUGAUUGAACUGGACAAAGACCUGUAUGGGCCAGACAACCAUCUGGUAGAAGUGAGUAGUUCUGCCUUCUAGGCUUUGACUCUGAUUGGAGGAUGAUGGAUUUGGGAGCCGUAUUUUAAUGUCUAAGGAGAGGGGGAGGUAUAAAGUAGUCACUCUAGGUGUACACAGUGCCACUCCAGGUGUACAGUUUGCACAUUGACCUCUAGGUGGCACUAGCAUGUUUAGUUAGGACCAAAGGCUCUUGUAACCUAACUUGUCCCAUCUUUUUAAUGUUACUAUCCUGGUCACUGCCGCCUCUUUCAAAGGAAAGUCUACUGGUGGCCUCUUGUAUGUGCCAGGCCAUCUCUGCAUCUUGCUUGUUAAUAAUGGUGAGAUGUAGUUAUCCAUGCACCAAUCAUACUUUUUCCUGGUAGCAGCUGCUGUAAUUAGAGUGAUCGACUGAUAGGGUACUAGUACUUGCCAAGGUUACCAUUAUAGAUCUGGGACUUCCUCUUGGUCUGUGCUCUGUUUACAUUUACAUUCCAAUUCACCAAAAAUCCUUUAUUAUGAUGCCUGAUUGAACAACGUUUUGAAGCCCAUGUUAGCAGCAGUAUUCUUUGGGAAACAGGCAAAACCAGAAUGACAGUCCAGCCAGCACUCCAAGUGAACUUAACCUGCUCCUUUCUUUGCCAGUGUAGCUGCAGCCCCUUAACCUCAACCACUAAGAGACAUGGGAAGGUCUUUACCAUCUAAUAAGGGAAGUGAGUCAUAGAAUCAAUAAAAACUUGUAAAUAUAUUUAAUUUAAUUUUAUAGCGGUAGAGUAUAGUGGCUAAGAAUGUGGACUGUAGAAUCAGGCACAUCAGAGCUCAAAUGGU
rnacentral:sRNA from 1 species